rnacentral:rRNA from 1 species
UACGUAGGCAGCAAGCGUUGUUCGGAGUUACUGGGCGUAAAGGGUGUGUAGGCGGUUCCUUAAGUUUGCUGUGAAAUCUCCCGGCUUAACCGGGAGGGUGCGGUGAAUACUGAGGGACUAGAGUACGGGAGAGGAAAGUGGAAUUCCUGGUGUAGCGGUGAAAUGCGUAGAUAUCAGGAGGAACACCGGUGGCGAAGGCGGCAUCCUGGACCGACACUGACGCUGAGGAGCGAAAGCCAGGGGAGCAAACGGG